GGCGUCUUUUCUUCACGCAAAAGGCGCGGGUCUGGGCCUGUUCCAGUGAAAUCAGGAUAUCCUUCUUGUCGGACUCGUUAAAGUCAAAUGUUUCUUUCAGUCCGCGACACUGCAGAUGACAAGGGGGCUGUGGAGGCAGAUAGUCCCCUGGGACGGUCAAGCAGGCCCCAGCAGGGCCUUUUCUCAGAGUAGAAACCCAUUUGGUGCCUCCCUCCCUCUUCUCCUCGAGCCCCCCUGAUCGCCAACCUGGAGGGGGCAGCUGUGCAAAAGAAGCACUGGUCCAGAGCAGGGAGCGUAAAUCAGGGGCCAUCGCGGGAACCCUGCCUUGCCCAGGGUCCCAGCCCGGCCUGGCACCAUCACUCCUGGCUCUGACGUAGAGCGGGCUACCACUGAGGUGGGUUCCCACUGAUGGAUCACCCAGACCGGGACACGUGGGCAACCCGGGACCCCCUGAAUGAUCUAUCAUCACCAGUGACCAGCCAGAGGGAAAGCAGCCCAUCUUCCAGUGAUACCAGUUGUUCACCUUCCUCAUGGGGCCUUUUGUAAUGCCUGACGGGUCGUCUGCUCCAGACAGGGAUGUUUGUAGAAGUCAACCUUGAGUUGUCUCCACAUUCAAUAAGGACCAUCUUUAUGAGCUUUUCAGCGCUUAAAACAUUCAUGGGAGAAAUGGCCACUUGGAUGGUUGUUUUGAUUUAGUUGCAUAUUUUAAAGUUAAACUGUUUGUUGAUGUACUGAAAUAUUUCAAUAAAACCUCCUAAAACAUUAAAAUGUUUACUAAUUUAUCGGAAAAACAACACAUUGGGAAAAGAUGUUCGUUCACUGUUUUUUUAGGCUAUCACCAACAAUGUUUUUCGUGUCAUUACUCUUACAUGUUUUUGUAAUAACAGAUAUUUUGACAGGUCCUGGGGUUGAGGGUAGGACAAGAGGACCUUCACGUUGACACAUACAGCCGAGACAGAAAUAGAGACACAUGGUCAUGAUAGGGUUAGGAUAUGUCAUUCUGAGAACCACCAGCAUCUUUCACCCUGUCGUCUGGCCCCAAGCCAUCCACAAUAAUUAGAAAAGACAGGCUAAUAAGUCAAAUUGAUAAGGAAGUAAGUGAACUGUGAUACACCCUGUAUGUGAGUUAAGACAAUCGAGUUUGACCACCUCUAUUAACCAACACUUUAUAUUCAUUUGAGUGAUUAUCCCCUGUUGCUAUGACACUGACAUUUUGGUAUGGAGAGAAAUGAAAUCAAAAGUAUUGGAUUUAAUAAUUACCAUAUUGAAGAAUUGAUGAAAGGCAGUGUCAUAGGAAAAUAACCAAGCCAUGUGUCAUCAUUCCGUCAACUCUGUACUUCACAUCAACAGAACAUUUGCACAUA